rnacentral:rRNA from 1 species
UGGGGAAUUUUGGACAAUGGGCGAAAGCCUGAUCCAGCAAUGCCGCGUGUGUGAAAAGGCCUUCGGGUUGUAAAGCACUUUUGUCCGGAAAGAAAACGCCGUGGUUAAUACCCGUGGCGGAUGACGGUACCGGAAGAAUAAGCACCGGCUAACUACGUGCCAGCAGCCGCGGUAAUACGUAGGGUGCAAGCGUUAAUCGGAAUUACUGGGCGUAAAGCGUGCGCAGGCGGUCCGCUAAGACAGAUGUGAAAUCCCCGGGCUUAACCUGGGAACUGCAUUUGUGACUGGCGGGCUAGAGUAUGGCAGAGGGGGGUAGAAUUCCACGUGUAGCAGUGAAAUGCGUAGAGAUGUGGAGGAAUACCGAUGGCGAAGGCAGCCCCCUGGGCCAAUACUGACGCUCAUGCACGAAAGCGUGGGGAGCAAACAGGAUUCAGAUACCCU